CACAACCCAUCUAGUGUUAAGUGGUAUGGACCUCACAACGUGAAUGCCGCCCCCAUUUUUAGAAACGAGGUCUGAGUUUCAACUGUAUACCAAAACGGCUGCCCCAUUCUUCAAAUUGCAACGCAUUUCUGCUUCGCGGUAGAAAUGGGCGGAAUGGUGGUCUUGCGGGUUAAUCAAACGCCCUACCACCAACGAUUUCAGAAUAUUUGCUAAUUUGAUUUUAAAUAAAAGAUGAAUGAAUCCUUAAUCAUGGAAGUCUUCCAUGUAUAUAUGUCAAAUACGUGUUUCAUUGGAUUUAUUGAUAUCUGCCUGCGGGAUUCUAGCACUGGUUCAGUAAGAUUUCAAAUUAAAUAGUAAAUUCUAGAAUAAAUGAGUUAGUUUUGUGGUUUUAUCAAUAAUAAAGUGUACAACAGAUCCAUCUUACGCCGACAUGAGGCCGACAACGCUAGAACAACCAGUCGAUGAUAUUCUAGGCGAGAUGCUGCUAUUAUUUAUCAAGUAAUAGAUAGUGGAUUUGUUUGACUUGGCAAGAGUAGGCUUUGAUUUGAAUACCAGAAAUAUAGUGCAGUCUUUCACAGCUUGAAGGGAAAUAAAAGCUGUGCAGACUAUUCAUAAUAAUGUUCACCCAAGGUCAUGGGCAAUAUGACGUGAAUAGGAAACUGCAUGUCAGACAUUAACUUAAUGUUCUAUAUUAUUUUUAAACAAAUGAAUCUAAUAUUUUAAGACAAUAAAUAAAUAUUUAUUUUUAUAAUUAGCCCAGUUUUUCGUCGACAAAGCCAUCUUAAGAGAAGCUUCAUUGCAAAUAUCAGGCCGAUAUUUAACUAUAGCGGACAACAAACAAGAGUGGACACAUCGUGAGCUGUAGUUGUAGAAAGAGGAGAAAAUGGAAACUAAGGCGAACCACUGGCUCAUGCAGCUUUCAUUUCAGCAGAGGCUGCUCGUACGCAGGCAGAGGCCGCGCAUCUUCCAGCUGAGAUAUAUAAAAAAAUUCAAGGAAUUGACCAAUAUCGGCAAAAACCUUGUUUAAAAUAAUAA